CCUACGGGAGGCAGCAGUGAGGAAUAUUGGUCAAUGGACGCAAGUCUGAACCAGCCAUGCCGCGUGCAGGAAGACGGCUCUAUGAGUUGUAAACUGCUUUUGUACGAGGGUAAAUCCCGAUACGUGUAUCGGGUUGAAAGUAUCGUACGAAUAAGGAUCGGCUAACUCCGUGCCAGCAGCCGCGGUAAUACGGAGGAUUCAAGCGUUAUCCGGAUUUAUUGGGUUUAACGGGUGCGUAGGCGGUUCGAUAAGUCAGAGGUGAAAGCCCGGGGCUCAACUCCGGCACUGCCUUUGAUACUGUCAGUCUAGAGUUUAGUUGAGGUAGGCGGAAUGUAUGGUGUAGCGGUGAAAUGCAUAGAGAUCAUACAGAACACCGAUUGCGAAGGCAGCUUACCAAACUACGACUGACGUUGAGGCACGAAAGCGUGGGGAGCAAACAGGAUUAGAUACCCGAGUAGUC
rnacentral:rRNA from 1 species